AGAGUUUGAUCCUGGCUCAGGACGAACGCUGGCGGCGUGCUUAACACAUGCAAGUCGGACGGUAAGGCCCCUUUCGGGGGUACACGAGUGGCGAACGGGUGAGUAACACGUGAGGAACGUGCCCUUGACUUCGGUAUAGCUCCAGGAAACUGGUGGUAAUCCCGAAUAUGAGCCUGGCCUGCAUGGGUUGGGUUGGAAAGCUUUAUGCGGUCAGGGAUCGUCUCGCGGCCUAUCAGCUUGUUGGUGGGGUAAUGGCCUACCAAGGCAGCGACGGGUAGCCGGCCUGAGAGGGUGACCGGCCACAUUGGGACUGAGAUACGGCCCAGACUCCUACGGGAGGCAGCAGUGGGGAAUAUUGCACAAUGGGCGCAAGCCUGAUGCAGCAACGCCGCGUGCGGGAUGACGGCCUUCGGGUUGUAAACCGCUUUCAUCCAUGACGAAGCGCAAGUGACGGUAGUGGGAGAAGAAGCACCGGCUAACUACGUGCCAGCAGCCGCGGUGAUACGUAGGGUGCGAGCGUUGUCCGGAAUUAUUGGGCGUAAAGAGCUUGUAGGCGGUUGAUCACGUCGGAAGUGAAAUUCCAGGGCUUAACUCUGGGCUUGCUUUCGAUACGGUUGACUUGAGGAAUGUAGGGGAGAAUGGAACUCUCGGUGGAGCGGUGGAAUGCGCAGAUAUCGGGAAGAACACCAGUGGCGAAGGCGGUUCUCUGGACAUUUCCUGACGCUGAGAAGCGAAAGCGUGGGGAGCAAACAGGCUUAGAUACCCUGGUAGUCCACGCCGUAAACGGUGGGUACUAGGUGUGGGUCCCUUCCACGGGGUCCGUGCCGUAGCUAACGCAUUAAGUACCCCGCCUGGGGAGUACGGCCGCAAGGCUAAAACUCAAAGGAAUUGACGGGGCCCCGCACAAGCGGCGGAGCAUGCGGAUUAAUUCGAUGCAACGCGAAGAACCUUACCUGGGUUUGACAUGUACUGGAAGCGUUCAGAGAUGGGCGUGCCUUUUUGGCUGGUACACAGGUGGUGCAUGGCUGUCGUCAGCUCGUGUCGUGAGAUGUUGGGUUAAGUCCCGCAACGAGCGCAACCCUCGUCCAAUGUUGCCAGCAGUUCGGCUGGGGACUCAUUGGAGACCGCCGGGCCAACUCGGAGGAAGGUGGGGAUGAGGUCAAGUCAUCAUGCCCCUUAUGUCCAGGGCUUCACGCAUGCUACAAUGGCCGGUACAAAGAGUUGCGAGCCUGUGAGGGUGAGCGAAUCUCAGAAAGCCGGUCUCAGUUCGGAUUGGGGUCUGCAACUCGACCCCAUGAAGUCGGAGUCGCUAGUAAUCGCAGAUCAGCAACGCUGCGGUGAAUACGUUCCCGGGGCUUGUACACACCGCCCGUCAAGUCAUGAAAGUCGGUAACACCCGAAGCCGGUGGCCCAACCUUUUGGGGGGAGCCGUCGAAGGUGGGACUGGUGAUUAGGACUAAGUCGUAACAAGGUAGCCGUACCGGAAGGUGCGGCUG
rnacentral:rRNA from 1 species